CCUACGGGAGGCAGCAGUGAGGAAUAUUGGUCAAUGGACGAGAGUCUGAACCAGCCAAGUAGCGUGAAGGAUGACUGCCCUAUGGGUUGUAAACUUCUUUUAUAAAGGAAUAAAACGAGGCACGUGUGCCUUUUUGCAUGUACUUUAUGAAUAAGGAUCGGCUCACUCCGUGCCCGCAGCCGCGGUAAUACGGAGGAUCCGAGCGUUAUCCGGUUUUAUUGGGUUUAAAGGGAGCGUAGAUGGGUUGUUAAGUCAGUUGUGAAAGUUUGCGGCUCAACCGUAAAAUUGCAAUUGAUACUGGCAGUCUUGAGUACAGUUGAGGUAGGCGGAAUUCGUGGUGUAGCGGUGAAAUGCGUAGAUAUCACGAAGAACCCCGAUUGCGAAGGCAGCUUACUAAACUGUGACUGACAUUGAUGCUCGAAAGUGUGGGUAUCAAACAGGAUUAGAUACCCUUGUAGUC
rnacentral:rRNA from 1 species